rnacentral:rRNA from 1 species
AAUGAACGCUAGUAGUAUGCUUAACACAUGCAAGUCGAACGAAAGUUUUACACUUUCGUGGCGUACGGGCGAGUAAAUGCAGAAUUCUUCCUUCCAGUUCAGUACAAAAUUGCUUCUAGUAAUAAAUUCUGAAUAUUUUUAAAGGUUUAUUCCGCUGAAAGAUGAAUCUGCUUAAGAUUAGGUUGUUGGUAAUCUAAAAGCUUACCAAGCCGAUGAUCUUUAGUUGGUCUGAGAGGAUGAUCAACCACACUGGAACUGAAACAAGGUCCAGGCUAAUUCGUUGGCCAGCAGUGAGGAAUAUUGGAGUCAAUGAACGAAAGUUUGAUCCAGC